AAAAACNUUACCUACCCUUGACAUGUCCAGAAGCCUGAAGAGAUUUGGGUGUGCCCGAAAGGGAACUGGAACACAGGUGCUGCAUGGCUGUCGUCAGCUCGUGUCGUGAGAUGUUGGGUUAAGUCCCGCAACGAGCGCAACCCUUGUCGUUAAUUGCCAUCAUUCAGUUGGGCACUUUAACGAGACUGCCGGUGACAAACCGGAGGAAGGUGGGGAUGACGUCAAGUCCUCAUGGCCCUUAUGGGUAGGGCUUCACACGUCAUACAAUGGUCGGUACAGAGGGUUGCCAAGCCGCGAGGUGGAGCCAAUCCCAGAAAGCCGAUCGUAGUCCGGAUCGCAGGCUGCAACUCGCCUGCGUGAAGUCGGAAUCGCUAGUAAUCGCGGAUCAGCAUGUCGCGGUGAAUACGUUCCCGGGUCUUGUACACACCGCCCGUCACACCAUGGGAGCGGGUUCCGCCAGAAGUAGGUAGCCUAACCGCAAGGAGGGCGCUUACCACGGCGGGGUUCGUGACUGGGGUGAAGUCGUAACAAGGUAGCCGUAGGGGAACCUGCGGCUGGAUCACCUCCUU
rnacentral:rRNA from 1 species